rnacentral:pre_miRNA from 1 species
GAUUUCAGCUGAAAAUGUCAUCAACAACAAAGUUGUAUAACUCAUCAAGAUAUAUAACUUCUAUUUUAGUCAUUUCUUCAUCCGAUAAAGUUAUUUAUAAGAUUGUUCACAAAAUGUACAUCUCUCUUAUAGUUUUAUAAACUAUAUAAGAGAUAUGCACAUUUUGUGAACAAUCUUAUAAAUCACAUUGUCGGAUGAAUAAAUGGCCAAAAUAAAAGUUAUAGAUCUUGAUGAUUUAUACAACUUUGUUAUUGAUGACUUUUUCAGUUGAAAUC